GCCGCGGUAGAUCAGCCAGGGAGAUCGCACGGCUGAAGACCGUGUUGUCCGCGGUUCAAAUCCGCGCCGCGGCACCA
rnacentral:tRNA from 2 species